rnacentral:rRNA from 1 species
GACGAACGCUGGCGGCGUGCUUAACACAUGCAAGUCGAACGCUGAAGCUCAGCUUUUGUUGGGUGGAUGAGUGGCGAACGGGUGAGUAACACGUGAGUAACCUGCCCCCUUCUUUGGGAUAACGCCCGGAAACGGGUGCUAAUACUGGAUAUUCACUGGUCUUCGCAUGGGGGUUGGUGGAAAGGGUUUUUCUGGUGGGGGUUGGGCUCGCGGCCUAUCAGCUUGUUGGUGGGGUGAUGGCCUACCAAGGCUUUGACGGGUAGCCGGCCUGAGAGGGUGACCGGGCACAUUGGGACUGAGAUACGGCCCAGACUCGUACGGGAGGCAGCAGUGGGGAAUAUUGCACAAUGGGCGCAAGCCUGAUGCAGCGACGCCGCGUGAGGGAUGGAGGCCUUCGGGUUGUGAACCGCUUUCGCUCAUGGUCAAGCCGCAACAAUGGUUGUGGUGAGGGUAGUGGGUAAAGAAGCGCCGGCUAACUACGUG